rnacentral:rRNA from 1 species
AGUUUGAUCCUGGCUCAGGACGAACGCUGGCGGCGUGCUUAACACAUGCAAGUCGAACGGAAAGGCCCUGCUUUUGUGGGGUGCUCGAGUGGCGAACGGGUGAGUAACACGUGAGUAACCUGCCCUUGACUUUGGGAUAACUUCAGGAAACUGGGGCUAAUACCGGAUAGGAGCUCCUGCUGCAUGGUGGGGGUUGGAAAGUUUCGGCGGUUGGGGAUGGACUCGCGGCUUAUCAGCUUGUUGGUGGGGUAGUGGCUUACCAAGGCUUUGACGGGUAGCCGGCCUGAGAUGGUGACCGGCCACAUUGGGACUGAGAUACGGCCCAGACUCCUACGGGAGGCAGCAGUGGGGAAUAUUGCACAAUGGGCGGAAGCCUGAUGCAGCAACGCCGCGUGCGGGAUGACGGCCUUCGGGUUGUAAACCGCUUUCGCCUGUGACGAAGCGUGAGUGACGGUAAUGGGUAAAGAAGCACCGGCUAACUACGUGCCAGCAGCCGCGGUGAUACGUAGGGUGCGAGCGUUGUCCGGAUUUAUUGGGCGUAAAGGGCUCGUAGGUGGUUGAUCGCGUCGGAAGUGUAAUCUUGGGGCUUAACCCUGAGCGUGCUUUCGAUACGGGUUGACUUGAGGAAGGUAGGGGAGAAUGGAAUUCCUGGUGGAGCGGUGGAAUGCGCAGAUAUCAGGAGGAACACCAGUGGCGAAGGCGGUUCUCUGGGCCUUUCCUGACGCUGAGGAGCGAAAGCGUGGGGAGCGAACAGGCUUAGAUACCCUGGUAGUCCACGCUGUAAACGGUGGGUACUAGGUGUGGGGUCCAUUCCACGGGUUCCGUGCCGUAGCUAACGCUUUAAGUACCCCGCCUGGGGAGUACNGCCGCAAGGCUAAAACUCAAAGGAAUUGACGGA